AUUGAACGCUGGCGGCAGGCCUAACACAUGCAAGUCGAGCGGUAGAGAGGUGCUUGCACCUCUUGAGAGCGGCGGACGGGUGAGUAAUGUCUGGGAAACUGCCUGAUGGAGGGGGAUAACUACUGGAAACGGUAGCUAAUACCGCAUAACGUCGCAAGACCAAAGAGGGGGACCUUCGGGCCUCUUGCCAUCAGAUGUGCCCAGAUGGGAUUAGCUAGUAGGUGGGGUAAUGGCUCACCUAGGCGACGAUCCCUAGCUGGUCUGAGAGGAUGACCAGCCACACUGGAACUGAGACACGGUCCAGACUCCUACGGGAGGCAGCAGUGGGGAAUAUUGCACAAUGGGCGCAAGCCUGAUGCAGCCAUGCCGCGUGUAUGAAGAAGGCCUUCGGGUUGUAAAGUACUUUCAGCGGGGAGGAAGGUGUUGAGGUUAAUAACCUCAGCAAUUGACGUUACCCGCAGAAGAAGCACCGGCUAACUCCGUGCCAGCCGCCGCGGUAA
rnacentral:rRNA from 1 species